GAUGAACGCUGGCGGCGUGCUUAACACAUGCGAGUCGAGCGGAAAGGCUCCUGCUUGCAGGGGUACUCGAGUGGCGAACGGGUGAGUAACACGUGGGUGAUCUGCCCUGCACUUCGGGAUAAGCCUGGGAAACUGGGUCUAAUACCGGAUAGGACGAUGGUUUGGAUGCCAUUGUGGAAAGUUUUUCGGUGUGGGAUGAGCUCGCGGCCUAUCAGCUUGUUGGUGGGGUAAUGGCCUACCAAGGCGUCGACGGGUAGCCGGCCUGAGAGGGUGUACGGCCACAUUGGGACUGAGAUACGGCCCAGACUCCUACGGGAGGCAGCAGUGGGGAAUAUUGCACAAUGGGCGCAAGCCUGAUGCAGCGACGCCGCGUGGGGGAUGACGGCCUUCGGGUUGUAAACUCCUUUCGCUAGGGACGAAGCGCAAGUGACGGUACCUGGAGAAGAAGCACCGGCUAACUACGUG
rnacentral:rRNA from 1 species